rnacentral:rRNA from 1 species
UACGAAGGGGGCUAGCGUUGCUCGGAAUUACUGGGCGUAAAGCGCACGUAGGCGGAUUGUUAAGUCGGGGGUGAAAUCCUGGAGCUCAACUCCAGAACUGCCUUCGAUACUGGCGAUCUCGAGUUCGGGAGAGGUUGGCGGAAUUCCUAGUGUAGAGGUGAAAUUCGUAGAUAUUAGGAAGAACACCAGUGGCGAAGGCGGCCAACUGGCCCGAAACUGACGCUCAUGUGCGAAAGCGUGGGGAGCAAACAGG